rnacentral:snoRNA from 1 species
AACUAUACCAGUCGAUGAGGAGAGGCUAUAGUUAAUUCAUCCGUUGCAGCAAUUUACUCACUAUGAUAUCCGUUUGGGUUUCUUAGAGGGCGCUGUGGAUAACAUCAUGGUCACAUCACCACAUAAUAAUGAUGUUUAGAAAUAUCUGAGACUG